rnacentral:rRNA from 1 species
GGGGAGGGAAAUAAUAGUACCGAAGUUCCUGAUGUCACACUGCCGAGAAAAGCUUCUAGUGAGAAAACAACGACCCGUACCGCAAACCGACACAGGUAGUCGAGGAGAGAAUCCUAAGGUGAGCGAGAGAACUCUCGUUAAGGAACUCGGCAAAAUGACCCCGUAACUUCGGGAGAAGGGGUGCUGAUCUAAGAUCAGCCGCAGUGAAUAGGCCCAAGCGACUGUUUAUCAAAAACACAGGUCUCUGCAAAAUCGUAAGAUGAAGUAUAGGGGCUGACGCCUGCCCGGUGCUGGAAGGUUAAGAGGAGUGCUUAGCGUAUGCGAAGGUACGAAUUGAAGCCCCAGUAAACGGCGGCCGUAACUAUAACGGUCCUAAGGUAGCGAAAUUCCUUGUCGGGUAAGUUCCGACCCGCACGAAAGGCGUAACGAUUUGGGCACUGUCUCAACGAGAGACUCGGUGAAAUUUUAGUACCUGUGAAGAUGCAGGUUACCCGCGACAGGACGGAAAGACCCCAUGGAGCUUUACUGUAGUUUGAUAUUGAGUGUCUGUACCGCAUGUACAGGAUAGGUAGGAGCCGUAGAAAUCGGAACGCUAGUUUCGAUGGAGGCGCUGGUGGGAUACUACCCCUGCGUUAUG